rnacentral:rRNA from 1 species
UACGUAGGGUGCGAGCGUUAAUCGGAAUUACUGGGCGUAAAGCGUGCGUAGGCGGUCCCGCAAGUCCGCUGUGAAAGCCCCGAGCUUAACUUGGGACUGCAGUGGAAACUAUGGGACUUGAAUCCGGCAGAGGGGGGUGGAAUGCCACGUGUAGCAGUGAAAUGCGUAGAGAUGUGGCGGAACACCGAUGGCGAAGGCAGCCCCCUGGGCUGAGAUUGACGCUCAGGCACGAAAGCGUGGGGAGCAAACAGG